AGUAAGAGAGUUUGCAGGUCACUUACAGGAGUAAGCUCACACCCCCACCUUGGGCAGUGCUAGGCAAAUUGAGAGACUGUGAUUGGUUACCUUAAGGGGUGGGGUGGGGCAACAGGAAGUGAAAUCAAGAAAACUGCUUUAAAAAGACCAGCUCAAGGAUUCAGUCAUUCUUUCUGUAUUGGUGAGCCAAACUGGAAAGGGAGACUCUUUCCUGGAUCCUGUGUUGGCUUGUGUUGAUGAGUGGAAUGAUUCCUUCCUUGUUUCUUAGGUGAGGAGACCCUCUCUGCUCUUUACUGAUUCAGUGGGACACUCCCUUCAGUGUGAGUUCUGGUGAGAUUCUUGGUGGUCUUAGCCUCUGAAGGUUCUCUGUGGAUUCUUCAGAGUCCCCUGGCUCUUUGGAUUUUGGCUUCCUAAUUAGGACUUUGGAUUCUGUUUUCUCAUCCUGGAUGAUCUCUCUUCCACUGUGGACUUUUCUCCCUGGAAGAUUCCUCUGCCCAUUAUUUCUUCUGCAGCUUGGGAAACAUGUUCUCCUGAAAUAAUGAUGGAACAAUGACCCGCAGGAAAGAAGUGCCAUAAGAUCAUCUUCGCCAUCAAACAUAUUGAGUUCCUACUCUCCAGAGAGUCGCUCCUCCACAAAAGCUAUUUCCUAAUAUUUGAUAUUCUACCAAUAACAAUGAUUCCUGAUUCCCAAGAUGUGGUCAACCUUAUUGCAAGGAUGAAUGAAGAGCCUAAAUAGAUCUUGAGUAUUUCUUACUCAGAAAGUUAUUUGGGACAAAGAACUGGAAUUCUAACUGCCUCGAUAUCAAGGAGUCAGAAGAAAAGAUUCAAUAUUUGCUUAGAGACAUUCUCCUUGGGUUUUGUUAAUGGGGUGGGUGGCUCAUAUUUUAAGAUUAUGAAUAA
rnacentral:lncRNA from 1 species